rnacentral:rRNA from 1 species
UACGGAGGGUGCGAGCGUUUGUCCGGAAUCACUGGGCGUAAAGGGUGCGUAGGCGGGUUAUUAAGUCAGAGGUGAAAUCCUGGAGCUCAACUCCAGAACUGCCUUUGAUACUGAUAGUCUUGAGUAUGGGAGAGGUGAGUGGAACUGCGAGUGUAGAGGUGAAAUUCGUAGAUAUUCGCAAGAACACCAGUGGCGAAGGCGGCUCACUGGCCCAUUACUGACGCUGAGGCACGAAAGCGUGGGGAGCAAACAGG